CCUACGGGAGGCAGCAGUGGGGAAUAUUGCACAAUGGGGGAAACCCUGAUGCAGCAACGCCGCGUGAAGGAAGACGGUUUUCGGAGUUUAAACUUCUGUUCUUCUGGAAGAAUAAUUACGGUAGCUAAGUAGCAAGCCACGGCUAACUACGUGCCAGCAGCCGCGGUAAUACGUAGGUGGCGAGCGUUGUCCGGAGUUACUGGGUGUAACGGGAGCGCAGGCGGGAAGCCAAGUCAGCUGUGAAAGCUACGGGCUUAACUUGUAGACUGCAGUUGAAACUGGUUUUCUUGAGUGAAGUAGAGGUUGGCGGAAUUCCGGGUGUAGCGGUGAAAUGCGUAGAUAUUCGGAGGAACACCGGUGGCGAAGGCGGCCAACUGGGCUUUAACUGACGCUGAGGCUCGAAAGUGUGGGGAGCAAACAGGAUUAGAUACCCUAGUAGUC
rnacentral:rRNA from 1 species